CUGCGCCUCUGUGUUCUUCAGGUCGGAACUCUCCUUUCAUACUCUGCACAAAGGCUUGGGCUAGCCAGCUUCAUUCAUGUGUUUACUCAACAGUUAUUAAGGGUUUGUUACACUGGGAAUUUGAGAGGAGGAAGACGCAUCCCUGACCUUAAGCAGCUCACGGUUUCAGCAGGGAUGAAGUCACAUAGACAGCAACAUAAUGGCAGGGGGAAGCAGUGGAGUGGCUGGGACACGGGGAGAGGCCCUGGGCCCAGUCAGAAGAGGGGGCCAGGGUCCGGGGCGGAGCAAUCCCUCUCUGGAGACUUACUGCAUGUCAGAAAGGGGGAGAUGGUUUUCUAAGUGAAGCGGGCAGUUUCACCAGGGGAGCAGAGAUUCUGUCCCUCGCUUCAAUAAAGGACAUUCCCUUGUUGGAAAGUCACAGUUGACUUAGCUGCAGGAGCAGAGCUCUUCCCUCUCUAGGUUGCAGAGUUCUGGACUCCCUUCUCUAUGUUCAGGUCGAAGGACUGAGUCUAAAGCGCCACUGAAUUCCUCACUCAGGUUUUUUUCUCAACAGACACGUGCAAUUCUGAAGGCCUGCCGGCCGCACCAAAGAGCUUCUCCCAAGAAGUCCUGGGCCGGGUAGAGGCAGCUGCGAAAGGGGAGGAGUGUUCUGUUUUGGACCAAAAAACACGACUCAAAUGAGGCUGACGAUACCCAAAGUACAGAGACUGCAUAGAGGAGUCACUGUCCCUCUAUCAUGUGUCAUAAUAUUAAAUGUCAUAACAGGGCAGACAAAAAGAUCCAUGGAGGGACAUGUACCCGGCCCUGCCACAUAGGCUCCCGGAUGGUCUACUGCAGGUCUCUGAGCUUCACGGUUUUCGUACAUAACACAGGGCUUGAGGGCAUCCCCACAUCCCCUGUGGUGGUGAGAAUUAGGUGGGAUGACAGCGGGAGGGGCCUGGGGCUUGGCACAGAGGGGAUCUCAACACAUGCCUGGUGUGACCCUCUUCCUUCCAGCCUACUCACCAGAGAGCCCCCCAACUCGUUAAUAACCCAACCCCUCCCCUCAGAAAUGUUGGUCUUUUCCCAAAAGUGACGAUUCCAGUUUGAUCAUUUUCUGCCUCCUGAUACACCCCAACGUGCUCCUCCCCAGGCUCCUCGGUGGGGUGCUUCUUGACACGCCUUUGUUGGGUCCCUGCGCACCGAGUGCAGGGAAGGAGGGGCGAGCUGUGGUUCCAGGAGCAGGGGUGAAGCCUGUGGGCCUCCCAGCUCCAUUUCUGUCUCCUCCUUGCCUGACAGAGCCAUAGCCGAUGCUCUCACCAGGUCACUUAAUUUCCCCACCGCCAUGACCUUCGCUUGGCCGGUUUUGGAACAAUGCGUGCCCUCACGUUAACAAGCGUUUGUUUCUUCCUGCCUGCGCUGAGCCUGUCUACCUUUGAAGAGAAAUCACAAGAGUUGUCACUGCUAUGCUCUUUACCCUCUGAAUGGAACGGCUCCAGCUCUGAUGUUACCUCAUUUAUAAUUAUCUUAGGGAUCUCUCCUGGAUGGUGGUGGCAGAGGAGGAUUUCUAAUUCGCCCCCUUACAAUGUUUUGCAAAUAAGCUCCCAGAACCAGGUCCAUUUUAUUGUCUUCUAUUUUAAAUAGAUUUUUUUUAGUGCGCAUCCAAUGAAAAGCCUAUUUAAACACCUGUACUCUCUCAUAUAAUGGUGAUGGGGGGAAAAAAAUCCAAAAGAAGUGGAGGCCACAGAAAUCUUUUAGACGGCAGUGCUUGGACAGAAAUCCUUUCCUUUCCGUUCCCACCGUCGCCCUUGGGGUGAGGCCGUAUCAGCUCGUACAGGACCUUAGCAAGAGCUUCAUGCUGGUUUCCCAGCCUCCGGGCUGUUUCCCUCGCAGUCUGUGUUGCUCCCGCCAGUAUCUCAGGCAUCACGAGACAUGUCAGCUCCGAGUUUCCCAAUAGCUUUUCAGUGAUUGCAGGAUAAAUUCCAUCCUUCUUACCCAGACAUUCGAGGUGCUUUACUAUCUGGGUCCUCCUGACCUUCCAGGGCCCCCACUGCUAUCAAAUGGGUCUACUUCUUAUCCCAUGAUAGCCCUGCAAUUGCUUCAUUUUGUGCCCGAGUUAUCGAUCCUUCUAUAUCCCCCCUGUUCAGAAAUCCUUCCUCUCCUCGGUGGGGGCAAAUCCUACCCAUGUCCUCUGACUCCUGAGCUGAAAGCACAGUCCCCGCCCAGAGAUAUGCAUGGGGUUAUCACUUUGCACUCUGCUUCCCUUUGCCCAAUAUGGGUGCCCCUUGUCCCCGCUCUUCCUUUCCGUUCAGCUCCUUCGUAGUCCGCUUUCUUCGCAAACCCAGAAAAGACUUGAUGUCUCAGAGGUAUUGCUGUCUGCUGCACCCUGUGUCCAGGCACAUUUUUACAUGGUUUCAUAGUCUCGUCUCUCACACUAUGCACCUACCCCCCAGACACAAGUGGGCAGGUAAGGAGAGCAGGAGUCCUGGUGUUUACAGCAUAGCUACUGUGUGUUGCACAUGGGCACAUUUAGAUACAUCUAAAUUUACCUACAAAUUUGUCUGGAAGUGUUUUGUGCCACACUUUCCAAUGAGUGAACUGAAGUUCAGAGGGACUUAAUGACCUUCCCAAAGACAGUUUGAUGCUGGACAUGGAACCAAAGAGAGAAAAAAAAAAUUGUGGCAUGGAGCUUGUUAGGCCAGGCUUCACAGAUGUGGUAGGAUCUGAGCCAGAGCCUGGUCUGGUGGGCAGGAUGCAAGAGCACUGUGAGUGUGAACGGCAUCACAAAGAUUUCAGAGUCAACGUGACAAUGUGAUCAUUCACGGCUUCUAGAGAUUGUACCCAAUCUCCCUUAAGAAUGAAGUAUUCAAGUUAAUUGCCUGGUUUUGAGCAUGCAAACACUGAAAUUGUGCCAGAAGGGCCACAGUUCAGGGGUAAGUGAACUUUACUGCAGCAUGGUAAGAACAGAAUAAAUGCUGACAAAGAAGCAGAGAUUUUUAAAUUUUCACUGCAGGUCAAAAGAGGGCUCCUAACACAAGAUGGCUGAAAUUGAGCAAACACACAGUCCCAGAUGGUUUCAGACAGCGGGAUAA
rnacentral:lncRNA from 1 species